rnacentral:rRNA from 1 species
AACGAACGCUGGCGGCGUGCUUAACACAUGCAAGUCGCGCGAGAAAGUGGGGGCGAACUCCAUGAGUAAAGACGGCGCACGGGUGAGUAAUACGUAGGUAACCUACCCUUGAGACCGGGAUAACCUUCCGAAAGGAGGGCUAAUACUGGAUAAGACCACGGGGCUUAGGCUCUGCGGUCAAAGGUGGCCUCUGCACGCAAGCUACCACUCGAAGAUGGGCCUGCGCACCAUUAGCAGUUGGCGAGGUAACGGCUCACCAAGGCGAAGAUGGUUAGCUGAUCUGAGAGGAUGAUCAGCCACACUGGGACUGAGACACGGCCCAGACUCCUACGGGAGGCAGCAGUGGGGAAUCUUGGACAAUGGGGAAACCCUGAUCCAGCGACGCCGCG